rnacentral:lncRNA from 1 species
UUAUGAGUAUAAUGCAAAAGCUUGAUAAUGACCAGAAGACAUCUUUUAAAAAGUAUAUCAGCUCCUUUGUUAACUAAAUGCAUGUUCAAUUUGCUUCCCUCUCAAGUUUUUUCCCUUUAACAGGACAUCUGUUUCAUCAUAAACUUUGGAAGUAUAAAUCUAAAAGACCUGAACAUGCCCAUGGGAUCAUGAUGAACAAGAAUUUUCUAAAAGCAUGCCCCCACAUUCUUACUUCUACAAGCAUUUUGCUGAAGCACUGA